ACUCCUACGGGAGGCAGCAGUGGGGAAGUAUUGCACAAUGGGGGAAACCCUGAUGCAGCCAUGCCGCGUGUGUGAAGAAGGCCUUCGGGUUGUAAAGCACUUUCAGUAGGGAGGAAGGUAGUGUAGUUAACACCUGCAUUAUUUGACGUUACCUACAGAAGAAGCACCGGCUAACUCCGUGCCAGCAGCCGCGGUAAUACGGAGGGUGCGAGCGUUAAUCGGAAUUACUGGGCGUAAAGCGCAUGCAGGCGGCCUGUUAAGUCAGAUGUGAAAGCCCGGGGCUUAACCUCGGAAUUGCAUUUGAAACUGGCAGGCUAGAGUCUUGUAGAGGGGUUAGAAUUUCAGGUGUAGCGGUGAAAUGCGUAGAGAUCUGAAGGAAUACCAGUGGCGAAGGCGGCCCCUGGACAAAGACUGACGCUCAGAUGCGAAAGCGUGGGAGCAAACAGGAUUAGAUACCCCUGGUAGACUGUCA
rnacentral:rRNA from 1 species